UUUAACUGCAGUUAUGUUUCAGAUAGAGAAAGAAUUUUUUCUUCAGCUUUCUUCCUAUCUUCAGUUAUCUGCCCCUGAGCCUGUAAAAAAGCUAACUGUUCAGUCUGACCUGGAAAUGGACUCUGCAGGAAAAGGGAAAUUAAGGCAGGACCUAGUAACUCUCAACCUUCAUAUGCUGAUCUGACUCCCGCUGGCUCUGUAUCAUCUGGACCUGGCCUUUCACCACAACCUAGAGAAAGAGGUAAGAGAACAUCAAGCAAAGGAAAAGGUAAAGGGAAGGGCAAAGGAAAGAAAAGAAAAACAUCUGCUGACAGAGAUUUGAACAUGACAGAGGAAGAUCUUACUAGGGUGGGACCAACAGAAGUGUCAGAUCAAAGUUGCACAUAGGAGCUGGAGAGAAAUCCUGAUUAAGAAUUAAUAGCAAGACCAGUGAGUCAGAAACCUUUUAGUAUGCCAUAUCUUUCCUUCUGAGCUUCUUUUUGGAUGUUGUUCUGGCAAUUCAGCACCUCCCGAGGCUCCCCCAGUGUUUGAUUUCCUCGAUACAGAGGCGUGUCCUAGAAUAACAGAAUUCAUUGUGUUGCAGUAUCCUAGGUAGGUAGGAUUGGUAUUAGCCCCAUUAUGUAGUGUCCUCUGUUGACAAAAAACAUUUUCUAUAACAUCACUGUUUGUUCUUG